UGGGGAAUAUUGGACAAUGGGCGAAAGCCUGAUCCAGCCAUGCCGCGUGUGUGAAGAAGGUCUUCGGAUUGUAAAGCACUUUAAGUUGGGAGGAAGGGCAGUAAGCGAAUACCUUGCUGUUUUGACGUUACCGACAGAAUAAGCACCGGCUAACUCUGUGCCAGCAGCCGCGGUAAUACAGAGGGUGCAAGCGUUAAUCGGAAUUACUGGGCGUAAAGCGCGCGUAGGUGGUUCGUUAAGUUGAAUGUGAAAGCCCCGGGCUCAACCUGGGAACUGCAUCCAAAACUGGCGAGCUAGAGUAGGGCAGAGGGUGGUGGAAUUUCCUGUGUAGCGGUGAAAUGCGUAGAUAUAGCAAGGAACACCAGUGGCGAAGGCGACCACCUGGGCUCAUACUGACACUGAGGUGCGAAAGCGUGGGGAGCAAACAGG
rnacentral:rRNA from 1 species